UACGUAGGGACCAAGCGUUGUCCGGAAUCAUUGGGCGUAAAGCGCGCGCAGGCGGUCCUUUAAGUCUGAUGUGAAAGCCCACGGCUCAACCGUGGAGGGUCAUUGGAAACUGGGGGACUUGAGUACAGAAGAGAAGAGUGGAAUUCCACGUGUAGCGGUGAAAUGCGUAGAGAUGUGGAGGAACACCAGUGGCGAAGGCGACUCUUUGGUCUGUAACUGACGCUGAGGCGCGAAAGCGUGGGGAGCAAACAGG
rnacentral:rRNA from 1 species